rnacentral:rRNA from 1 species
UACGAAGGGGCUAGCGUUGCUCGGAAUCACUGGGCGUAAAGCGCACGUAGGCGGAUCUUUAAGUCAGGGGUGAAAUCCUGGAGCUCAACUCCAGAACUGCCUUUGAUACUGGAGAUCUCGAGUCCGGAAGAGGUGAGUGGAACUCCGAGUGUAGAGGUGAAAUUCGUAGAUAUUCGGAAGAACACCAGUGGCGAAGGCGGCUCACUGGUCCGGUACUGACGCUGAGGUGCGAAAGCGUGGGGAGCAAACAGGG